GAAAAAAUGUUCUCUUCGUACAUGGAGGGGGUCGCCCUAGGGAAGUCGCACGUGCCUGCUUAUAACAAAGAGAAGACAUCGAGAGCUAGGAUCCAGCUAUAUCUAUUAUCGAAAUUGUCUACGGGUGUUCACCACGAACGAAAGAAUAAGGGAACCCAUUUGGUCGACGAACUAGAGUGACAGCUGCACGUGUCGUCACUCCACGUACCAUUCUUCUCUUUCCAUAGUAUUCGAACUUUCCGUGUCAACGACGAGAAAAUUCGAUUCUUUUUCUAAAAAUACGAAUAUGUUGGACGAUUUUAUCGAUCGAUAUUAUACGCGCGCGCGCGCGCGCGCGCGUGUGUGCAUGUAUAUGUAUAUGUACACACACACACACACACACACACAUAUAUAUAUAUAUAUAUAUAGCGAUAGUGUAAAAAAGAAAAGCCAUACAAGUCUCGAUGCGAAUUUUCUCUAUCGAAGUUACGUGCCGUUCCCAAUUGACCACGUGAUCGUGUCGUCUGCUACGUCCGCCAUGACAAUAAGAAGUUUACGCGCUUCUUUGCGCGCCACACUUCUCUUAUUCGCAAAAAGAUUCAUGCGAUAAUGUUCCUAUUUUAUACCAAGUUUCACGUUUUGCGCUAAAACUUCUUCCUUAUUUCUCGCUAUCCAACGAACUGGAACUGGAAAGGAUGGAUAUUCUUUUCGACCUUUCCGUAACGGCACUCAGUUACUCUCUUUCUCUCUCUAUCUCUCCCCCAUCUUUUUCUUAGGAGAGCGAAAACCGAGAGAGAGAGAGAGAGAGAGAGAGAGAGAGAAGCGAAGCAAAAAGAGCGUGACGCAGAACGGUUCGUCGUUCUUAGGAAGCACGAAGAAGUCGCCCUCGUCGUUCGACGAUCAUCGUCCAUUAUCGUACUUUUACGUACCCGGCGAAAACGAUGGAGAAAGAGAGAGAGAAAAAGAGAAAGAGAGGACAACGACGACGACGACGCAAGAGGAAAAAGAGAGAAAGUCCAAGAGAAGUAGACUAUCGCGUAGCGUCGUCCUCGUCGUCGCGCCACGAAACGCUCCGUUGUUUAUACCCUCCUCGCAAUAAUAAUGUCGGAGGAUAAGAGGAGGAGGAGGCGAAGCACGAAGUGCACCGACGACACCGCCAACGCCGCCACCACCACCACCGCUGUCGCGACAAAUGAGAACGAGACACCGCUUGGCGAUGCAUGUACGCGCGUAUGCACCGGACCACGGCCGCCGCCACCACCACCACCACCACCACCACCGACGACGACGACGACGGCGACGACACGACGGCGAUGACGAUACACACGCGCACAAACGCGCACGCACCGCACUCGCACGUUCAAAAUCAGAGAAAGAGACUUAAGAAGAUCGGACACUAAAAGAGAGCACUACUGUGGGCCAAUGGAAGAUCUGCUCCGUCUUUCCACGUUAAGAUAACUCUUGCAUAUUCCGGACGAGGAUCCAAUUGAUAAGUCGAAUCCACCUGCAAUUAAUUUAUAAACUACUGGUUUCAACAUAUCUCGAUCGCCCAUCGACACUGAUCCGGAUGUUACGAGUACAUCGACUUUUCCCAAGGCAUUUUUAAUUGCAUCCACCAUGCUGGCUUUGCUAUGAAAAAUAAACGAUAAAGCAUCGAAAUUAA